ensembl:lncRNA
AUGGCCUUUCAUGAUUUGGAGAUGAAAGCAGCAGGGAGAAAGCAGAGUUCAAUGGAAAAGAUGCUGAGAAAGUACAGAAUUCUGGGAAAUGUAGUUUGGGAAGGUAAGGAUCCAUUUGCCAGAAAAUUCAAAAGGUCAUGCCCUCAACUAUAUUUUACAGAAUUCCAAUCAGCAUCAGAAAGCCCCAAUCAGGAUAGGGGAGAGAUUUGUCCCUGCGUAGCAGCCAGCCAGACUUCCAAUAAGUUGUUGAAUCUGCAAAGAAGAGGACUGACUGAGACUUCCACUUUUAAAGUCAUCAAAGUUGAUGGCCACAAUCCGCUCUUGCACAGAUCACCAUCUGCACUCAAGAUGAGGAACCAUCAGGAAUGAGGAGGUGAUCAUUUAGGUAAGUGCAUAUAAUUCUUCACAAUCAAUCUGAAGCAGCAAAGAAACCCUUGCCUAUCCCAACACUGUAUUUCAAAGCUCUUACACUCCAUAAAAUGCUAUUUCUCUCAUUCCAGCAUGUAAACUACUACUACAACAACAAACAAAACAAAAAAGAAGAGUGUUUUGGGUGAUUUCAUUCCAGUGAUAUAAAAGAGAUAUAAAAAUAUUCACAUAUUUUCUUAUCUUUCACUAGAAACAUUGUCUCAGCUGGCACACCCCUAACCUGCCUCUUCCUGGUAAUUGCCAGAAGAUUUUUCAUUCUUAAACAAAAGCAAAAAAAAUUGAACUUUUUGUUUUAUUUUCAGUGGACUUUACACUAAAUUUGGAAAGAGGUUGAAAAACUAUUGUUUAUACAUUUUAAGGGUGAUGGUGGUCAAAUGAAUGUUUCAAAGGUUAUUUUUUGCAUUAAAAUAUUUUAUGAAAUUUUCACCAAAACUUUUGCAUUUAUUCUCAUAAAUUCUCAUUUUUGAUUUUAUUGAAUGAUACCCUGGGAUCACAUGACACAAAGUGAAAUAUACAUAUUUUAAUUAAUAAAUAGUGAUGUAUUGUAGAACAUUCUCCCAGCAUCAGUACUAAAGAACGGUCCUGUGGUUUUAAGCUCUUGUUCAGAGAAUCAUAUAUAACCAUUUAUUUUUUCCUCCAGUAUAAAAAUCAGGACCAGACCUCAUGUUGAAGGUUCUUGAAAAUUCCAAUUCUUGGUUGUAUUUGGUCUUAUUCAAAAUCACAAUGUUUUGGUGAUUAUCCUUCUGUGAGCAAGUAACAAGUAGCAUUUGUUUUUGUUUUUCGGACAGUUCCACACUUUUUUAAAUGAGAAUGUAAAACUUUUGUGACAUCUCACCAAUCAAAUUAAAGCAAAAUCAGGAGGAAUAAUGGAAACAGAAAAGCCUUCAGAAGAUGUAAUGAGGACAAAUAGAGAAACUAAAUUCAGCUCCUUUCUCCUCCAUCACCAAUUCUUUAUUCAAACCCUAGUGUAUAUCUAAUCCAGGGGCUGAUAGCCUGGCUGUGAUCAGGAUUGUUCACCACAGGCAGCAGAUUAUGGGUGCCAUAUUUUGGUAGCAAAUUGUUCAUUAUUUAUUUUGUUAUCCUUGUGUUCUUACUGGUGAGACUAGGAAGAGGUUUUCAUGGUCUUUUGUGACUUGGGUGCCAAGACAACUUGGCUGACUUUUGAUACUGUGCACCUGACUUCAAUAGGAGACUGAUGCCAUUUACUGCUCUGGCUCAGACAUCAGAAUGUCUUGUUAAGACCUUAAUUAUGAUAUAAAGGCAACAGGUGUUGGUUGCUUUUUGAGCUGCUAUUAGGGUUCGAAGAGCCAAAAAAACAAAGGCAGGCACUGUUCACAAAUGGAGGCACUGAUUUUUGUGUCAAAUGGACACAAAAAUGUGUGCUUAUACAGAACCCUUGUUGGAGAAUUCUUUUUUUUUCUAGGUUCAUUCCCAUUGUUGCAGCCCAGCUGCCUACUCAGUCCCUUUUUCACCCAAACACCACACAGAUGAACAAGAAUAAUAUGCUUAUUAAGAAAAGAGUACCUAAUAUAAUUGGACAAGCUUCUACAAAUUUUGAUAUUCACGGGUGUCCUGGAACUAAAUCCAAGCAGAUACCAGGGGUCCACUGUAGUGACUGAAAGUAAUACUACAUGUUUCAGGCACAUCUAAAUAGAUUCAAAUUAGUUAAUGCAAUAUUAGAAACUGAAUAUCUCUGAGGUGCACACACAGAGUUCCCAUGCUAAUUUUCAAGAGACUGCUUUAUAGUCUUGGAGCUAUGGAGGACUCCCUCUUUCUCACACACAGAUAGAAUCUUUUAAUAGUCCAAAUGGAAACAAAAAGAGAGUCAUUACAUAUAUAUUUAUAUACUUGAAGCCACAGGUGUAAGAUGCCACCCUGCUUAUGAAAACUUAGAACAAAAAACUUUAAUUUCCCACAAACAAGAUCAUAAAAAGGGAAGAAUGACAUGUGACAAACUGGUAUUUGCAGAAACUUAAAACUAAACACAUAUGUACACACAAACAUAUGGCACUCUCAAAAAUUUUAAAACAACAAAAUGUGCAGUGUCUUCACUAAAAAAGUAACAAAUAUGCAAAUCUUUUUGAUGAUUUCACAAGUGUCAUUUUAUCCUUUAACACACUGUCACAGCUACGUUUCUCACAAUUAUCUAAAAUUAUCGGAAGACAUAUGUCUUGGAUAUGCUCCCCCCCCCCCACAUUCACGCUUUUGCCAUCCAAGUCCAGCUUGACAUACCUUGCUGUUCAAGGAAGAAGAUCAAACAUGUUGUUUUAUGAAAUAUAUAGCAUACCACUCAAAUGUAUAGUACCAAAGGCACCUCAAUUAGUUUGGCACAUGGGACAGAAAUAAAUGAAGCACCACUUCUCAUAGAUGACAAUAAAAUGGGUAAAGAAUGAAUUCAGUAAUUUACAAAUUGCUGCCUUGUUAUGACAGACAAAAUCAUAUGCUAGUUAUAGCUUCCUCUCUCUGCUUAAUAAUUGAACCAACCUUGACGACCCUUACAAUUAGAAUUGCAUGUCUGAGAAGUAAGCAUAAGCAUAUAAACAAUUGCUUGUUUCAUUUUCACACACAAGAGUAAAUCAUUUCAAAGGUUUUCCCCAUGCUGGGAAAAACUAUGAGCGUUUUGUGCAUAUAAUACACACAUAUAUAAAAUUACAUUUUGGUUUAGAAAAAAACAAACUUUGAACUAACAAGAUUUUUGUGCAAAACUCAACUCUCAAAAUGUGAACCAUCUUUCAGCAAUUGAAAGUUUUUACAAAGAGAUGUCUUAAUGGGUUGAAACCCAGUGAAGAUAAGAACAUUUGCGAGGAUAUGUUUAAUAAAUGUUAUUACAUUGCUAGUAAAAAAAAAUACCUGGGGGACACAAACAUUUUUCUUUCUGGCCCUACCUCUUCUUUUCACCCUCAUUUUCCAGAUUGGCUCAAGUCUUGCAGCUUGAAAUCUUGUAAGUUCUCAGAGCCAUAUGAGGUACCAUAAAAUUUCAUUAAGCAUGUUAAAAAUGAUACCUGUCCUCUCUUACCAUUUCAUCACAUAAUUUAAAUUCCACUGAGUUCUAGACU